rnacentral:rRNA from 1 species
UACGUAGGUGGCAAGCGUUGUCCGGAAUUAUUGGGCGUAAAGCGCGCGCAGGCGGUCCUUUAAGUCUGAUGUGAAAGCCCACGGCUCAACCGUGGAGGGUCAUUGGAAACUGGGGGACUUGAGUGCAGAAGAGGAAAGCGGAAUUCCACGUGUAGCGGUGAAAUGCGUAGAUAUCUGGAGGAACACCGGUGGCGAAGGCGGCAUCCUGGACCAAUACUGACGCUGAGGAGCGAAAGCCAGGGGAGCAAACGGG